AACCUUAUGGACCUGCGGGCGUAUACCUGCGGAAGGAUCAUUACAUGGCGGAGAAGGUGGGCACCUGGCCAAAAAAAACUCCAGGUUGUCAUGCCUUCACGCUCUUCCACCCUUGUCUAUUUGUACCUUUUGUCGUUCCCUCGGCGGGUUUCGACCCGCCGGCGGUAACCAUUGAAAACCCUUUUUGCAGUUUAGCAUCCAACUCUUCUGAUCAAAUAUCAAAUCGUUACAACUUUCAAC
rnacentral:misc_RNA from 1 species